rnacentral:lncRNA from 1 species
GGGAAAAGUGAAGGUUUACUGUGAUGGGCAUGAUGGAUUCUUUGAAAUUGGAGCGGGUGAUUUGGUUGAGUUCCCCAAAGGAAUGAAAGUCACUUGGGAUGUCACUGAAGCUCUGAACAAGCACUACUCCUUGGAGAAGUAAUGCACCUAAGCCGAACAAACAUGUUAUGGGGCCUAAACCAUGAACUUUUCAUCCUAUCUUAGACUGCGAGGUGUAUCAUACUUCCGCUACAUAACACUCUUAGGCAUGCAGCAAUACCUUUUAAUAUCAGGGAUUUAUCCAAGCAUGUUGAAUUUUUGCAUCUAAGGCCUCCAUAUCUUGCAAUACAUGUUUGCUGAUGAGAAUCCUUAUGUUGCAAUUCUUAUUCAUGUCGGGGAUUGUCUUUACAUGCUGCAAUUUUGAUCUAUUUCCUGUUCUGUGUUGAUGGCAUUGUUAGAACAGAGCAUGGGAUUCACUACUUGUCUUGAUGACCUCAGAGAGAUGCCUUUAGGUCAUAUUAUAUACAUUCGACCCAAUAAAUUUCAGUGAUUCUUUAAUCCUUUCACUGAUUAAUUAGGAAUGUGAGCCAGAAGUUGGGCAGAAAUUCAGGUUGAUUAGGUUUUCUGGCAUCUUUUGUGAUGAAUGUUCGAUUAUAAUUUUAAGCAAAUAUAUAUAAGAGGUGGGCUAAGGCAUCUCUUGUAGAUGAAUAUUUCACAAAUGUUUGAAAUAGAUAUAGAUCUUGCCUCCUCAUGAAUCAUCUGAUCAAACUGAACUUCUUACAAAAGAUGGUUCCCAAGGGAGUCAUGAUCUGUUCAUCUACUGAGAGACUUCCUCAUACUCAUGAGCUUAAUAUCCUGGGUCAGAAUAAGUUGGUAGGAUCCCUUUUACACCACGGGGUGGAAAAAAAAGGAAGAAGAGGGAUGGGAUUGGCAGCUACAAGACUAUUUUUCUAAAUUCCUCGAUAGAGAGUUGUCUUGUGCCCUUAGACAUUCUCUACUGUUUGCUUGUGCCAACUUUAGUUACAAAUACCCUUUUUGUUGAAGGAUGUAAGGCUAUUUAUCCGAAUUCAUUAGAGAGAGUUGUAUCGUAUCCUCAGUUACUCUUCACCUAUCCAUCGGUGUUAGUGUCAUGUCAGUGUCGGAUUCAAGUACAGGUGCUCUUUUGUUGAAGGUUGCUGUCUCUAUGGCCGUACUUUUCAUGUAGACCCUUCAUGGAUAGAGGGUAAGAGUUAUAUAUCAGGGAUCA